AGACGGAGGAUGCAAGUGUUAUCCGGAAUCACUGGGCGUAAAGCGUCUGUAGGUGGUUUAAUAAGUCAGUUGUUACAAAUUGAGGCUUAACCUUAAAUAAGCAACAGAUACUGUUAAACUUGAGUAUAGUAGAGGUAAAAGGAAUUUCCAGUGGAGCGGUGAAAUGCGUAGAGAUUGGAAAGAACACCGAUGGCGAAGGCGCUCUGCUGGGCCAUCACUGACGCUCAUGGACGAAAGCCAGGGGAGCGAAAGGGAUUAGAUACCCCUGUAGUCCUGGCCGUAAACGAUGGAUACUAGAUGUUGCACGUAUCGACCCGUGCAGUGUCAAAGCUAACGCGUUAAGUAUCCCGCCUGGGGAUACGCACGCAAGUGUGAACUCAAAGGAUUGACGGGGCCCGCACAAGCGGUGGAGUAUGUGGUUUAAUUCGAUGCAACGCGAAGACCUUACC
rnacentral:rRNA from 1 species